AGUUUGCAGUAAGAGUCUUAAGUAGGCUAGAUCAAUUUUGAGUAUGGAUGCUUUUGAGGAAUGUUUCUCCUCAACAGCUUGUGAAAAUGAUGAUGGUUAAAAGAAAAAGCCCACAACCGGACCAGGAGACCCCACCUGAAGAGAGGGAGAACAGUAGAGAAUAAAAAUACUUUAAGCUGACAAGAGGUAUUGCAUUAAUUUGUAAUUUAUCUGAAAAGCUCUUUGGCACAGAUUCAGCACCAAAUGAGCUUUGGUACACCCUGUGUUAGCAGAGCACUUUAGAUCAUGUUUAAAUCAACCCUUGCUCAGGACAGUAUUUUUUUAUGUAUUCUGGCAAACUAGUACAAGGAUGGACAAACAUAUACAAGCUCAUGUGCAAACACAGCCUUUUCAACACAGACUAUUUAUAGCUAUUUUCUAUAACACCUUUUUCAGAAUACACAAAAUCCAGGCCAGUAAGUGACAUCAUCUAUGAGCUUUCAGAUUUUUUCAAAUGGACCUGGCUUUGAUGUAGUUGGACACUGGGUGAAGACAUGCCUCAAGUCGGGAAUUAUCCUUCAUGUCUGCUGGUGAACAUGAAAGAAGCAGUAGGCACCACACCUUGUAUUUCACUUUAACCUUUGAUAAAUUUCACAUUCCUUGGCCUAAUGCAUUCUUUCCUUCCUCCCUGCAAAUUACUUAUUGAGGCAUAAAACUCUCAAGAACUGCCUCUGUGGUUUUAUUGUUAGAGAGAUUCCCUUUUGGCACCUCGAGAGAGGUUAUACAAAUGAGGGACAAAACUCUCUUCAUGCCCCUCUGGUGGUCUAAGCUACUAUACAAGAUAUGGUCUUUCUUGAUGAUAAUUUUGAUAAUUAGAACAACAACAAAAAAAAUCAAGAUGGGAAAGGAAAAAUAUUGGUAGUAAUUAAAUCAUUAAUACUAGUGCUUUAGGAGAGAAUAUGCCAAAGGUUUGUAAGCCUGGGGCACAAAUAUAUAUAUGUUGCAAUUGUCAUUUAAAUAAACUCAGAAGUCACCAUC